UACGUAGGGUGCAAGCGUUAAUCGGAAUUACUGGGCGUAAAGCGUGCGCAGGCGGUUGUGCAAGACAGAUGUGAAAUCCCCGGGCUUAACCUGGGAAUUGCAUUUGUGACUGUACGGCUAGAGUGUGUCAGAGGGGGGUAGAAUUCCACGUGUAGCAGUGAAAUGCGUAGAGAUGUGGAGGAAUACCGAUGGCGAAGGCAGCCCCCUGGGACAACACUGACGCUCAUGCACGAAAGCGUGGGGAGCAAACAGG
rnacentral:rRNA from 1 species